rnacentral:rRNA from 1 species
AGAGUUUGAUCCUGGCUCAGAAUCAACGCUGGCGGCGCGCUUAACACAUGCAAGUCGAACGAGAAAGUGGAGCAAUCCAUGAGUACAGUGGCGCACUGGUGAGUAACACGUGGGUAUCCACCUCUUUGUGGGGAAUAACAUUGGGAAACCGAUGCUAAUACCGCAUACGUCCGAGAGGAGAAAGCCGAAAGGCGCAGAGAGAGGAGCCCGCGCCCGAUUAGCUAGUUGGUAAGGUAAUGGCUUACCAAGGCGACGAUCGGUAGCCGGCCUGAGAGGGCACACGGCCACACUGGCACUGAAACACGGGCCAGACUCCUACGGGAGGCAGCAGUGGGGAAUCUUGCACAAUGGGGGAAACCCUGAUGCAGCGACGCCGCGUGAGUGAUGAAGCCCUUCGGGGUGUAAAGCUCUUUCGACAGGAACGAUAAUGACGGUACCUGAAGAAGAAGCUGCGGCUAACUACGUGCCAGCAGCCGCGGUAAUACGUAGGCAGCAAGCGUUGUUCGGAAUUACUGGGCGUAAAGAGUGCGUAGGUGGUUGGCUAAGUUUGGUGUGAAAUCUCCCGGCUCAACUGGGAGGGUGCGCCGAAAACUGGCUGGCUAGAGUGUGGGAGAGGGACGUGGAAUUCCUGGUGUAGCGGUGAAAUGCGUAGAUAUCAGGAGGAACACCUGCGGUGUAGACGGCGUCCUGGACCAUUACUGACACUGAGGCACGAAAGCGUGGGGAGCAAACAGGAUUAGAUACCCUGGUAGUCA